rnacentral:rRNA from 1 species
AUUGAACGCUGGCGGCAUGCUUUACACAUGCAAGUCGAACGAGUGGCGCACGGGUGAGUAAUACAUCGGAACGUGUCCUAUCGUGGGGGAUAACUGAUCGAAAGAUCAGCUAAUACCGCAUACGAUUGUACCGGCCGCUGCCCGAUUAGCUCGUUUGUGAGGUAAAGGCUAACCCAGGCGACGAUCGGUAGCUGGUCUGAGAGGACGACCAGCCAAACUGUGACUGAGACACGGCCCAAACUCCGACGGGAGGCAGCAGUAGGGAAUCUUCCGCAAUGGGCGCAAGCCUGACGGAGCAACGCCGCGUGAGUGAUGACGGCCUUCGGGUUGUAAAGCUCUGUUAAUCGGGACGCGGUACCGGAAUAGAAAGCCACGGCUAACUACGUGCCAGCAGCCGCGGUAAUUC